GAUGAACGCUGGCGGCGUGCCUAAUACAUGCAAGUCGAGCGAACAGACGAGGAGCUUGCUCCUUUGACGUUAGCGGCGGACGGGUGAGUAACACGUAGGUAACCUACCUAUAAGACUGGGAUAACUUCGGGAAACCGGAGCUAAUACCGGAUAAUAUUUCGAACCGCAUGGUUCGAUAGUGAAAGAUGGCUUUGCUAUCACUUAUAGAUGGACCUGCGCCGUAUUAGCUAGUUGGUAAGGUAACGGCUUACCAAGGCAACGAUACGUAGCCGACCUGAGAGGGUGAUCGGCCACACUGGAACUGAGACACGGUCCAGACUCCUACGGGAGGCAGCAGUAGGGAAUCUUCCGCAAUGGGCGAAAGCCUGACGGAGCAACGCAGCGUGAGUGAUGAAGGUCUUCGGAUCGUAAAACUCUGUUAUUAGGGAAGAACAAACGUGUAAGUAACUGUGCACGUCUUGACGGUACCUAAUCAGAAAGCCACGGCUAACUACGU
rnacentral:rRNA from 1 species